GAUGAACGCUAGCUACAGGCUUAACACAUGCAAGUCGAGGGACCGGCGCACGGGUGAGUAACACGUAUCCAACCUUCCCUUUACUCGGGGAUAGCCUUUCGAAAGAAAGAUUAAUACCCGAUAUAAAGGAUGGGGAUGCGUUCCCUUAGGUUGUUGGUGAGGUAACGGCUCACCAAGCCUUCGAUGGAUGGGGGUUAUGAGGGGAAGGUCCCCCACAUUGGAACUGAGGCGAGGUCCAAAAUCCUACGGGAGGCAGCAGUUAGGAAGAGUGGUCAAUAGGCGUUAGCCUGAACCAGCCAAGUAGCGUGAAGGAUGAAGGCUUAUGGGUCGUAAACUUCUUUUAUAGAAGAAUAGGUAUUAGAUGAAUAAGGAUCGGCUAACUCCGUGCCAGCCGCCGCGGUAAUAC
rnacentral:rRNA from 1 species